rnacentral:rRNA from 1 species
UGGGGAAUCUUGGACAAUGGGCGCAAGCCUGAUCCAGCCAUGCCGCGUGAGUGAUGAAGGCCUUAGGGUUGUAAAGCUCUUUCAGUGGGGAAGAUAAUGACGGUACCCACAGAAGAAGCCCCGGCUAACUUCGUGCCAGCAGCCGCGGUAAUACGAAGGGGGCUAGCGUUGCUCGGAAUCACUGGGCGUAAAGCGCACGUAGGCGGCUUACUAAGUCAGAGGUGAAAGCCUGGAGCUCAACUCCAGAACUGCCUUUGAUACUGGUGAGCUUGAGUUCGGGAGUGGUGAGUGGAACUGCGAGUGUAGAGGUGAAAUUCGUAGAUAUUCGCAAGAACACCAGUGGCGAAGGCGGCUCACUGGCCCGAUACUGACGCUGAGGUGCGAAAGCGUGGGGAGCAAACAGG